rnacentral:lncRNA from 1 species
AUGCCGUCCGCGGCGCCCGGGCUGUCGGCGCGGAGGGGCGCCCGCAGGCCUGAGCCCCGCGCCGAGCCCCCCUCGGCCCAAAGUUUCAGCCUCAGAAGCAGGCGGCCGGCUCAGGGGGCGAGGAGGUGGCGGGGCCGGCGGGUCAGCGCCGCUCCGAGAGCGCGCCGCCCGGCCGGGUCGCUACAGCGCCUGGGCUCGGCUGUCAGGACACGUCCACAACUUUGCUUGGCCGCGGGGCGGGCGAGGCGACGAGAGCAGGCACUCCGAGCGUGCAGGGGCUGGGGCUGCCCGCGCCUCCGAGAGCGGGGGGCUGCCCGCGCCCUAGUCCGCAGCCGGGCGCCGUCCGCCCCCAGCCGCGCCGGGGCGGCUGCAGCUGCGCCCGGGAGCGCGGGCUCCCGCCCCGCCAACUCCGGAGGGCUCCGGGCUCCCGCGAGGAUCACCUGUUCCCGGCCCCGCUGGCUCCGCGGAGUGUGCAGCCGGGCUGCGCCUCCCCCGCUGCAGCUGGCGUCCUCGCCGCGGCCGCUCCAGACGGGCCGCUGCCGCCGCAGACUGAGCCGCCGCGCCGCGCCGCGCCGCGCCGCGCCGAGCCGAGCCGAGCCUGCGCCCCGCAAGCGCGCUCUCCGCCCGGACGCCUCCGCCGCCGGCGCCGCAGCCCGGCUGUCCCCGGGACCGCGCCCGCGCCCCGCCUCCCGCCGGCCACGCCCUCCGGCCACGCCCCCUGCGCGCCCCUCGGGCCCGGUCCGCCGCGGCGCCGCACCAGGCCAAUGGCCUGGCGUCUGGGCCGGGAGUGCGGGGCCUAAGCGAGGGUGGGGAGAGGACACGGGACUCCAAGCCACGCCCCCUCCCCCACGGCCCGCGCCGCGCACACUUCCCCAGUCCCGCCAGCACCAAUGGUCCAGCUGCGCGGGGCUGGCGAGGGUGGGGGUGCAGAGCGGAGCGAGGUCAUUGGCUGCCUCGGAGGGAUCCCCGUUGGGCCGCAGCCGCCCAUUGGUUAGUGCCCAGCGUUCGCUGGACUGGGAGCGACCGAGACCCCCCUCCCGCCCCCGUCCGCGCUGCUCUGGUUGUUGGUCCCCGGGAGGGGGCAGGAGACCCAGCUGGUCUGGGGGUCUCUGGCCGUCGUUCGGUCACCUCUCUCACCUUUCUGUGCCAGUCCAGGAUUGGCAGGGAGCUGGGGGACUGCCCGGGGGUCCCCAGAGCGUCCGCGGGAGCCGCGGUGGUGCUGCUGUGGCAAGGGGUGGCCAGAGCCAAGCCACAGAGCUGUGGCUGCGCUUGGGCCGGCCUAAGGCAGUUGUUUGCACGGGACCCCCGCAGACCACUGCUCAGCCUUCCUUACCCACAGCCCCAGGUCUGGCCGGGGCCCCUGGGUGGGGCAGGGGGAGACGCUAG